rnacentral:rRNA from 1 species
AUUGAACGCUGGCGGCAUGCCUUACACAUGCAAGUCGAACGGUAACGGGUCCUUCGGGAUGCCGACGAGUGGCGAACGGGUGAGUAAUAUAUCGGAACGUGCCCAGUAGUGGGGGAUAACUGCUCGAAAGAGCAGCUAAUACCACAUACGACCUGAGGGUGAAAGGGGGGGAUCGCAAGACCUCUCGCUAUUGGAGCGGCCGAUAUCAGAUUAGCUAGUUGGUGGGGUAAAGGCCUACCAAGGCAACGAUCUGUAGUUGGUCUGAGAGGACGACCAGCCACACUGGGACUGAGACACGGCCCAGACUCCUACGGGAGGCUGCAGUGGGGAAUUUUGGACAAUGGGCGCAAGCCUGAUCCAGCAAUGCCGCGUGCAGGAAGAAGGCCUUCGGGUUGUAAACUGCUUUUGUCAGGGAAGAAAUCUUCUGGGCUAAUACCCCGGGAGGAUGACGGUACCUGAAGAAUAAGCACCGGCUAACUACGUGCCAGCAGCCGCGGUAA